CAAUAGCGUAUAUUAAAGUUGUUGCGGUUAAAAGCUCGUAGUUGGAUUUCUGUUCUCGAGGAUCGGUCCGCCUCACGGUGAGCACUGGUUUUCUUGGGGAGCAUCCUCUCGAAGGCGGGGUGGUGCACUUAAUUGUGUGCUGCUUGGAUUCGGGACCUUUACUUUGAAAAAUUAGAGUGUUCAAAGCAGGCGUCGGCUUGAAUACAUUAGCAUGGAAUAAUGGAAUAGGACUUUGGUUCUAUUUUGUUGGUUCUAGGACCGAAGUAAUGAUUAAUAGGGACAGUUGGGGGCAUUAGUAUUUAAUUGUCAGAGGUGAAAUUCUUGGAUUUAUUAAAGACUAACUUAUGCGAAAGCAUUUGCCAAGGAUGUUUUUCAUUAAUCAAGAACGAAAGUUAGGGGAUCAAAGACGAUUAGAUACCG
rnacentral:rRNA from 1 species